ensembl:lncRNA
UAUUCUGAUAGUGGUAGUGGGGUGGUAUGUGUCUAGUAUCCCUUAUGGCUCUAAUCUGAUAGUGGUAGUGGGGUGGUAGAUGUCUAGUUUCCUUUACGGCUCUAAUCUGAUAGUGGCAUAUGUCUAAUCUCCUUUAUGGCUCUAAUCUGACAGUGGUUGUGGGGUGGAAGAUGUCUAGUCUCCCUUAUGGCUUUAAUCUAAUGGUGGUAGAUGUCUCGUCUCCUUCAUGGCUCUAAUCUGAUAGUGGUAGUGGGGUGUUAGAUGUCUAGGCUCCCUUAUGGCUCUAAUCUGGUAAUGGCAGAUGUCUAGUCUCCCUUAUGGCUCCAAUCUGAUAGUGGUAGUGAGGUGGAAGAUGUAUAGACUCCCUUUUGGAUCUAAUCUGCUCGUGGUAGAUGGUUUUGAGAUGUCUAGACUCCUUAUGGAUCUAAUCUGGUGGUGGUAGAUGCCUAUUCUCCCUUAUGGCUCUAAUCUGAUAGUGGUAGUGGGUUGGAAGAUGUCUAGGCUCCCUUAUGUCUCUCAUCAGAUAGUGGUAUAUUUCUAGUCUCGCUUAUGGCUCUAAUCUGAUAGUGGAAUAUGUCUAGACCACCUUUUUGUUCUAAUCUGAUAGUGGUAGUGGGGUGGUAGAUAUCUAGUCUCCUUUAUGGCUCUAAUAUGAUAGUGGUAGUGGGGUUUUAGAUGUUUGGUAUCCCUAAUGGCUCUAAUCUGAUUGUGGUUGUGGGGUGGUAGAUGUCUAGUCUCCCUUAUGGCUAUAAUCUGAUAGUGGUAGAUGUCUAGUCUCCUUUAUGGCUCUAAUCUGAUAGUAUUAGUGGGGUUGGAAGAUGUCUAGUCUCCUUAUGGCUCUAAUCUGAUAGUAUUAGUGGGGUUGGAAGAUGUCUAGUCUCCCUUAUGGCUCUAAUCUGAUAGUGGUAGGUGUCUAGCCUCCCUUAUGGUUCUAAUCUGAUAGUGGUAGGUGUCUAGUCACCCUUAUGGCUCUAAUCUGAUAGUGGUAGAUGUCUAGUCUCCCUUAUGGCUCUAAUCUGAUAGUGGUAGGUGUCUAGUCUCCCUUAUGUCUCUAAUCUGGCAGUGGCAGAUGUCUCAUCUCCUUUAUGGCUCUAAUCUGAUAGUGGUAGUGGGGUGGAAGAUGUCUAGUCUCCCUUAUGGCUCCAAUCUGAUAGUGGUAGAUGUCUUGUCUCCCUUAUGGCUAUAAUCUGAUAGUGGUAGUGGGGUGGUAGAUGUAUAGUCUCCUUUACGGCUCUAAUCUGAUAGUGGUAUUGGGGUGGUAGAUGUCUAGUCUCCCUUAUGGCUCUAAUCUGACAGUGGUAGUG